rnacentral:lncRNA from 1 species
UUUGCAUUCAUAUAGUCAUAUCCAACGUGCGAACAUAUAUUGGGUAGAAAAUUAGGAAAGGUAAGGUUAAGUCGCGCAACUAGCCUUGGCUAGGUCAAAGGGGUGCCUUGGAUUCUAUCCUUGCCUUCCCCUUUGUCAAACGUGACCCCCGAACCUUUUUCUUUGGCUUACGUGGACUAGGAGUCGUUUUAAAAAGGGUUUUACUACUUUGUCUUUAAAAAACAUUUUUUUUUUUUUUUGGGUGACUUGGUACACCCUAACUCUAUACCAAGUGGCGACUCCAUUUUUGAUACAAAAAACCCUUUUGAACUUCACUUGGCCAAAUCGUCGCAUUCUAAGUCCCAUGGCCUUUUACUUUUUCAUUUUGCACACGUUCACACAUUACACACCACACAUCAUCACUCAAUCGAAUCGAAAAGUGGGGCGCGACAGU